UUUGCAACAAAGGCCCACGAUGUAAGCAAACCGCUGUCCAAUCACCAGGGAGGGAGAUCUGAGCAUAGGGACACCCCCCAAAGGAAACAGGACCCCUCCGGCCCCUCACUGGGGGAUUCUAGGCGGGGCUCCACCGUGGCCACGCCCCCUAACUGGGGGAUUCGAGGAAGGGCUCAAUCCUGAUCACAGCCCCAGCCCUCUCCUGGGGUGGGGGUGGGGGGCAAUUCUAGGCAGCGCUCCACUACUGGAGACAACCUCCAUCCCCUACUGGGGGAUUCUAGGCAGGGCUCCACCCUGGCCGUGCCCCUUCACCCCCCUCCCCCCACUGCUUAGACACUACCACUAUUUAGUUCAGGCUACCCUUUUAAAUCGUAAUCCUCCUGCCUCAGCUCUAGCUGACUCACCCAGGGUUAUAGGCUUGCUGUCCUCCUGGUCUGAGCCCACUCCUGUCCGGGGGCUGCUGCUCUGCUCCGCAUCUGCCAAGAGAGGAGGGGACAAUUGGUGAUACUACAGGGACCUCUGACCCUAGUUCUGCCAUUUCUGUGCUGUGUGGCCUUCGGCCUCUGGGGCCGUUAUGUGACACUGAAGGCCUGGCCAUGGCUGGUACAUUUGGGAAGGUCAGUAAGGAAGGGAUAACAUGCCUCGUGGAGCACUACACAUCUGGGAAUAGGAAGGAGGCCACUGCAGCUCAUCACUGCGGAAUCCUGCAUCCAGCCAGCUCUCGUCCUCCCUGCAGCCCGACUGCUCCUGCCAGCUACUGGAGCACAAGCUUCAUCCUGUCCCGGGACUUUUGAGAGGUGCUCCCUUUUUCCCAGCAUGCCAUGGUGCAGGCUCAGGAAGCUUGGAAAUCCCCUUCCUCCUCCCACACACAUCUGGUUGAGUUCCAACCUGCUAGGGACCCUGAUCCCCUGACCCACCCGGCGCCUUUGUCUCUGCGAAUCUGGUAUAAGAAUGUGCUUUGUUCACACCGCACACAUCUGAUGCCUUGUCCCACAACCCAUGGGUGGGGACCACAGACUUCCUAAUCGUGGAUUUCUUUCCAGCAAAUCUGCAGGAGACACAGCAAGAAGGCUGGGCGGGAGGUGGACUUUCCUGAUGACAUCACAGGCGGAGAGUGACACAAACAGCCACCCUUGACCCACCCACAGAAGCUAACGUCAGCCUGGCAGUGCCAUGUGACUUCAGGAAGAGCACUUGACAGUGCUUAAAACACCCGCCAAUCCGCUGUUGCAUAAAUAAAAGUGGGGCCAAACAGA